UACGUAGGGGGCAAGCGUUGUCCGGAAUCAUUGGGCGUAAAGCGCGUGUAGGCGGUUCGGUAAGUCUGCUGUGAAAGUCCAGGGCUCAACCCUGGGAUGCCGGUGGAUACUGUCGGACUAGAGUACGGAAGAGGCGAGUGGAAUUCCCGAUGUAGCGGUGAAAUGCGCAGAUAUCGGGAGGAACACCAAUUGCGAAGGCAGCUCGCUGGGACGUUACUGACGCUGAGACGCGAAAGCGUGGGGAGCAAACAGG
rnacentral:rRNA from 1 species